AACGAACGCUGGCGGCGGGGUUUAGGUCAUGCAAGUCGAGCGAGAAAAGACGCAAGCUGAGUACAGCGGCGUAAGGGUGAGUAAUAGGUAGUCAACGUACCGGGCAGACGCGAAUAAUUUCCCGAAAGGGAUUGUAAUGCGCGAUGAGAUCACGGGCACCACGGUGCAUGGGAUCAAAAGGUCGGGGAUCCUUCGGGACCUGGCGCUGUCUGAGCGGACUACCUCUGANAGUCUAGUUGGCGGGGUAACGGCCCACCAAGGCGAUGAUCAGUAGCCGGCCUGAGAGGGUGUCCGGCCACACUGGGACUGAGACACUGCCCACGACUCC
rnacentral:rRNA from 1 species